GACAGAGGGUGCAAACGUUGUUCGGAAUUACUGGGCGUAAAGCGCGUGUAGGCGGCUUUGCAAGUCGGAUGUGAAAGCCCACGGCUCAACCGUGGAAGUGCAUCCGAAACUGCAUGGCUGGAGUCUCGGAGAGGAAGGUGGAAUGCUUGGUGUAGAGGUGAAAUUCGUAGAUAUCAAGCAGAACACCUGCGGCGAAGGCGGCCUUCUGGACGAUGACUGACGCUGAGACGCGAAAGCGUGGGGAGCAAACAGG
rnacentral:rRNA from 1 species